UACCGUAUGACAAUUGAUGCAGGAGUUAGAUUUGACAAAUGUUCGUGAACUUGAAGAUUGCAUGUAUUACCCUAUGACAAAUUACAAACCAUAGAGAUAGUUGGAAGAGUCAUUAUGGAGAAACAGGUUUAUGUACGACAUUCAUGCAGGACAAAAUACUUGGCACAUGUGAACACAUUAUUAACAUAUGUGCAAAAGACAUUGAUACAAACAACUCCUUUUGCAUGGCUAUUGUCCAUUGAUGUGGAUGCCAAAAUGAGUAGGACACUACUUUUAGAAUUGUGUAGUAGAUGGUCAGAGAGGAGGGGCGGGUUUGAAGUUAGGUCUGUCUUUAUUCCAUUCACCAAGUUAGACCUUUGUUUAGG